rnacentral:lncRNA from 1 species
UUUUGUUGACUGAUCAUGGGCCAUCUGAGGAUUGGGCUGUGAGAUUAGGGUUUCAUGAUUCUUAAUGGAUGAUGGUCUUCAUCUUGAUUGCAAUGAUACAUCAUCAUCAUCAUGGUUGGAUGUCAUCAGAAGAUUGAAGAAGAUUCCUUGAGAUUAGGGUUUUGACCAUUGGUCAACCCUAAUCAGUUGCAUUGGGCCAAUCAGGGCAUGAUCAGGAGAUGAGGUUUAUGAUGGAUAUGGGGUUCAUUCUAUGAUUAUAUUGUGCUUAUUGAGGCUAGGGUUUC